rnacentral:rRNA from 1 species
AACGAACGCUGGCGGCAGGCUUAACACAUGCCAGUCGAACGAGCUGGGGGCUUCGGUCCCCGAUGCUAGUGGCGCACGGGUGAGUAACACGUGGGAAUAUGCCCUUUAGUACGGAAUAACCAAGGGAAACUUUGGCUAAUACCGUAUACGCCCUUCGGGGGAAAGAUUUAUCGCUAAAGGAUUAGCCCGCGUCUGAUUAGGUAGUUGGUGAGGUAAUGGCUCACCAAGCCGACGAUCAGUAGCUGGUCUGAGAGGAUGAUCAGCCACACUGGGACUGAGACACGCCCCAGACCCCUCCGGGAGGCAGCAGGGGGGAAUAUUGGAAAAGGGGGGCACCCUUGACCCGGCCAUGCCGGGGGAGUAAAGAGGCCCUUCGGGUAGAAAAGCCCUUUCGACGGGGACGAUGAUGACGGUCCCCAAAAAAGAACCCCCGCCAAACUUCGGG